UACGGGGGGGGCAAGCGUUGUUCGGAAUUACUGGGCGUAAAGGGCUCGUAGGCGGCCAACUAAGUCGGAUGUGAAAAUCCCCCAGGCUCAACUUGGGAACUGCAUCCGAUACUGGAUGGCUUGAAUUCGGGAGAGGGAUGCAGAAUUCCAGGUGUAGCGGUGAAAUGCGUAGAUAUCUGGAGGAAUACCGGUGGCGAAGGCGGCAUCCUGGACCGACAUUGACGCUGAGGAGCGAAAAGCUAGGGGAGCAA
rnacentral:rRNA from 1 species